rnacentral:lncRNA from 1 species
UUAUUUACAAUCGAUUGGUUUCUACUGUUUGUGUAUACCUUCUCCGAUAAAAGCCUUUCUUUUUAAUAUCCUCAAUUAUUUUGCAACCGAUGAAUCUUUGUUAACCUAUUCAUCUUCCCCUGGAUGGCCCUCCUUUUAAGUAGUUCUUCAUUACCUUCGCUUACACAAAAGAUAUGUAUCAGUAUCCCUCAUGAAGAUUUGAAGCCAACGUCACCAUCACCCAUCACCUGCUGGUACUGGCCCUCAAGAUUUACAAUCAUCAUUCUUCUUGGAUGCCCCCACCUCCCUCCCCAAGGUCUCUUCACGGACCGCUUUCCCUUCGCCGUUGAAGACACCUCCUCUGGGUCCUGAUUAAUUCCCCAGCCCCCACAGAUCGUGGCCUUCUUAUUCAGUUUCAAUGUGUUUUGAGGUAUGUGUUAUAGUAUCGUGUCUAAAUUUUGCAGCACACCUAUUGCCCAACUGAUCUGAUUACCGAAUGCCAUGCGCCGAACGCGUUCGUGCUCACGUAUGCGAGGAAUAAAAACGAAGCAGUUUCUUUUGGAUUCCCAAGAUCCAACACGUCCAGGUGAUGUUGCCUACACCCUUCCACACUCGGGUUGGUGGUGCUAGAUUGAACUAGCCGUCAUUGCCGAUGUUACUUUUGUGAUGAACUCCAUAUCAGGUGAAGGCGUUGGUGAUCGUGGUGUGGAUUCAAGAUGGGCCUAACGGAUUAACGACUGGAUGGCUACCACGAUGGCUCGAGGUCAGGUAUGCUCCGCGGCUGAUGUUGUGUCACGGCGUGUGGUGUCUCCUGUGUAAACUGUUCGAAAUUAAUUAGCAAAGGGUGUGUCCAACCCCGAACAGUCAUAUCUUUUCUUUCUCUAUUGCGAACAGGCACGUAUUAUGUAGAGAUGACUCCGAACAGACACCUCUUCUUCCCAUCUUCUUUCAGAUGUAUAUAUACUUGAGAAUCCAUA